UGGAUCCUUUUAUAUAUUGGAUCUGAUCUUUUUUGUCAUAUUUGAUGUUUGAUUUUUUUUUCUUGCUCGAUUCUGUUCAGUUUGUUUAUAAUAAUUUAGUUUCAAAACAAUAGGAUGGAUAAAAUCAAACCUAGUGCCAAUCAUCCGAUGCCCAUUUCGAAUAAUGGCGAUACAUCCAUUGGAAAUGAAUCACAAACAGACAACAUUACCAUGGAACCGAUGAUGAUUAAGACAACGACUACAACGGCCACCAGAUUAACACCGGAAUUGAUAAUGCGUGCCGAAAUGGAAGUAAACGAAAAGGAUGCAUGGCGUCUUAGAGAUAUUGAAGCGUUACGUGAAAUGAUUCGAGGUGAGCCAUCUCUUCGUUGUCGACUGGAUGAUGCAUUCCUGUUACGAUUUCUUCGUGCCAGACGUUUUGAUUAUGAUGGAGCUUUCCGGUUGAUUUGUGAUUAUCUUACACUCAACUGUCGCCAUCGUGAACUGUUCAUACCGAUCGAACAAUUGAAAUGCGUAUUUGAUGCCAAUACAAUUGUCGUAUUGGAUGAUAAAUCCAACCAGGAUGAGACCAUAUUCUUAUUACGUCUUGGCCAAUGGUUACCAAGAAGAUUCAGCUUUGAUCAAGUGAUUGCUGCUGCCAUAAUGAGCAUGGAAUAUGUUAUUCGUGAUGAAGUCACUCAGAUCAAUGGUAUCAUCUGUGUGAUAGACAUGGCUGGAUUUGGUUGGAGUCAACUACGAAAAUUUGGUCCUAGUCAAGCGAAAAAAGUCAUACACAUAAUGGACAAAUGUUUACCCAUUCGUAUCAAAACAAUCUACGUGAUCAAUGAAUCAACAUUGGCAGAUAUAGGCUUUGCCAUAAUGCGUCCAUUCACUAGCGAAGAAUUACAUGACAAGAUUAUUUUUCUAGGUUCCAACUAUGGCCCGAUUCUUCACCAGAAUAUAUCAGAGCAAAUUCUACCCGAUCAAUUUGGUGGUAAAUGUGGGUCGAUGAACAGCGAUACUUGGUACAAGAAGCUAUGUUUGUUCGACAAAGAGAUGAAACAUAACUUCUUUGCCUAUGGAUUCAUUGAUGAUAGCAAUAUGGUUAUCGAUUUAAAGGGCAGAUGUUCCGGUACAAAUAUUUGUCGAGGAAACCAUUCUGAUUCGGGCAAUUAUGGAGCAGGAGCUGACAUGAAAACCAUAUUUCGUAAAUCACAAACAUGUAAUGGCUAUCUAUUCGAUUAUUACAAUACGACCACUAGUAUCGACUAGUAUCUUGUCUUAUCAAAUUCCCACCAAACCAACAAUCAUCAUCAAUCAAUAUGAUUAACAUGCAAUUUACAUCUUAUCAUUGAUUGUUGUUCGGUUGAUUUUCACCCUCAAUAUAUCCAAUCCUCCUUAUGUCUGUAUAAUAAUAAUAAAAAAAAAUCUGAUCAUACAUGUCUCAUUUACUCUGUUGGUCUCUUUCUCGAUUGAUGAACCACCGAAUCCAUUUUGGCUGUCCGAAAAAAAUGGUCGAUCAAGCUACCCUGAGUAAAUUGGAAGCCGGUUUCCAAAAAUUACAGAAUGCUCAAGAUUGUCAUUCAUUGUUGAAAAAGUAUUUGACUCGCGAUGUGUUAGAUCAACUCAAGACGAAAAA